ACCUACGGGGGGCAGCAGUGAGGAAUAUUGGUCAAUGGGCGCGAGCCUGAACCAGCCAAGUAGCGUGAAGGAUGACUGCCCUACGGGUUGAAAACUUCUUUUAUAAAGGAAUAAAGUGAGGCACGUGUGCCUUUUUGUAUGUACUUUAUGAAUAAGGAUCGGCUAACUCAGUGCCAGCAGCCGCGGUAAUACGGAGGAUCCGAGCGUUAUCCGGAUUUAUUGGGUUUAAGGGGAGCGUAGAUGGGUUGUUAAGUCAGUUGUGAAAGUUAGCGGCGCAACCGUAAAAUUGAAAUU
rnacentral:rRNA from 1 species